GCCGCUUCCCUGCUGCCUGAACCAGCCAGAUGUAGGACUCCGGGCCCUUGUUCUCCCCCCCCGGACCAGUGGGGGUUAUCCCGGUCCACCCCCUCACGGUCACCUCAGCAGGUGAUAAGCGGUUGAACAGAUCGGGCGGACUGGAGGUCGCUGGUGUGGCUGACAAAAUGGCGAACGACACGCACGCCUCAACCCUCUGCAAGGCCGAGAGAGAAACGGAGCUCAGACUCACCUGCAUUUUUGACGCCUUCUGGGAGAGGCUGGAACAGCUUGCGUGGCCCCCGGAACCGGGGACCCAGCCCGAAGCUACGCCACACGGCCCACUACGAGAGGCCCAAGAGAAUGUCCCGGCACACGCCGUAAGUUCCCUUGCUGGGCCCCACAGGCGCCUGAAAACGACCAACCCGAUGUCGGGUGAACAGAGUCACACCAAGAGUGAACGCGACCAGGCACAGGCAAAGCAUCUUAAGGGGACCCCCAAAGCACAGCGCAGAACACCGCCUUGCUCCCUGACAAUGAC